rnacentral:rRNA from 1 species
AUUGAACGCUGGCGGCAUGCCUUACACAUGCAAGUCGAACGGCAGCACGGGAGCAAUCCUGGUGGCGAGUGGCGAACGGGUGAGUAAUAUAUCGGAACGUGCCCAGUCGUGGGGGAUAACGUAGCGAAAGCUACGCUAAUACCGCAUACGAUCUAUGGAUGAAAGCGGGGGAUCGCAAGACCUCGCGCAGUUGGAGCGGCUGAUAUCAGAUUAGCUUGUUGGUGAGGUAAAAGCUCACCAAGGCGACGAUCUGUAGCUGGUUUGAGAGAACGACCAGCCACACUGGGACUGAGACACGGCCCAGACUCCUACGGGAGGCAGCAGUGGGGAAUUUUGGACAAUGGGCGAAAGCCUGAUCCAGCAAUGCCGCGUGCAGGAAGAAGGCCUUCGGGUUGUAAACUGCUUUUGUACGGAACGAAACGGUCCUUUUUAAUACAGGGGGCUAAUGACGGUACCGUAAGAAUAAGCACCGGCUAACUACGUG